AUAACCUUAUAUAUGUUAACGUGAUACUCCAUUUUAAAUUUCAUGGCAAUCGGAGUUGUAGAACUCCGUUUAUAGCGAUUUCCGUCGGAAAAUCACAAAAAUUGAAAUGGUCAUAACUUGGUCGUUUUAAGCCGGAAUUAGCUCAUUUUUGGACACGAGCUACAUAUUACCAUAUAUUUUCAUUUCCCAAAAGCCUGUAAUUUUUCUCAUUAACUAAAUGUCCAAAACAGCCCUCGGAAAAUUUUGGCCAGAAACUUUUUGCACUUUGGCAGUUUUGGAGUCCUUCACCAAAACUUAAAUAAAACGAAAUCUGUAACUCCGAUUAAUGAUCCGUCAAUUUUGUUGGAUUCGUAUCUUUCCGAACUACAGUUUUCAUAUAUCACAAUCCAUAUUUGGAUAUGUUUAGCUCCCGGAAUUUAACCCGGAAGUGACUGUUCAAAUCUGUCCUUUUAACAGUUUUUCUUAACUUUGUGUAGUUUGGUAGAAAUCCCAUAACUUGCUCCUCCGAUGUCGGAUUUAAUCCGUUUCGGAGUCUAUGGAAAGCUUAUUGAGUGUACUAUAACAUAUCACAAGUCCAGAAUUUUUAGAGCACCCUAACAAAUCCGAAAUUUUCUGUUUAGGGCAGCAGUCCACUAAUUCAUUUAAAACAAAAAAACUGUUUUGGUUCAUCUUCUUUGUUCAAGCUUAUCAACCCUAAAAAUGGCAAGAUCUAACCAUAAAAUAUCAUAUAUCAUGUAGAUCUUCCCUCAUAUGGAUCAUAAGUUCAACACUUGAUGAAAAACAACCAAGGAAAUUUAGCCUACACAAGUAGAAAUUUUUAUUAUACCUUAGCUUGAUUUCUCCUCCUCCUUCUUCCUUCCUUCCAUGGAUGGAUCUUGGUUUCAUGAGAGUCAAAAUCUCCCCUCCCUCUUCACCAUGUGGCUGCCGAACAUGCCUCUCUUCUCUCUCUUUCUCUCUAUUUAGUUUUUGCUAGCUAACUAGGAAGUGAGAUGAAAGAGAAAAAUAAGCUAAAGUUUUAUUAGAUGUGGAUUAUCUCAUUAUCUAUAUCCACUCUCCUUCUCUUCUUGUUCAUCCGGCCAAGCCUCCCUUCUCACUCUCUCUCUCUUUCUUAAGUUCAUUUGGCUAGGAAAUAAAAGAGAGGCAAGAAAGAAAAAUUAUGUAUAUAUAUAAGCUAGACUUUUAUUAGGUGUGGAUUAUAUCAUUAUCCAAACUCACUCUCCUUUUUCCUCUUGUGCAUGAUCCGGCCAUGUGCCUUCAUUCUCCCACUAAUUCUCUCUUUCUCCC
rnacentral:lncRNA from 1 species